CACCCUCCUAGGGUCUGUUUUCUUUUGGGGGCUGGCUGCUAUUAUUGCUAGACCUUCCUGGCUACAAAAGUCCUGUUUCCGAUUAGAUUGCAGCUAACAGGGUUGCUAUUUCCUGUUACAAAGACAUUUUCUAACUUAGUAAAACAUAGUGUGAUCCAAAAAUCUUCAUAUCCAAUUUUGUAAAAUAGACAACAGAAGGAAAGCUACUGGAUGAAAUCAGCAGGAUAAAUCAAUUAUAACUCAGAUCAGUGGAAAUUAGAUUUAAUUCCUUCUCAUGGUAAACAUAGAAAGAAUCAAUAUAAUUUGAAUAGUAUUUUAUAAUGGCUGAGAAUCUUGCAAUAGGGUAAUGACAUUAGAUUUUUUAAAAGCUGAGCUUUUAACAGAACUGUUAAAAUUAGAUCCUGAAACUAAACCAGAGAUAAAAAGAUAAACUUUCAAAAUUAACUUCUGUUAAAUGAGAGAGAGAAGGGAUUAGGCAGGACCCCCUGAAUAUCUAUGUAAAGCUAAAAAUCGAAAAAGUUUGACGUAAAGAAAUUGGGGUGAAAAUGUUUGUAAUAGGAAAUCUUUGCAGAAGCCGGUUAUUCAGUGGGAGAGGAUCCCACUAAUAGGUUUCAGGUGCUCACCAAAUAGCUUGUCCCAACAAAAUAAUUGUUGUUAGUGGUGUAUGAUUGGUUUCCUACAUCUAAUAUUGCAUCCACUCUCAAGUUGGAAUCUGAAAGUUUUAAACAAAUGAAUGACAGACAAGUAAAAGGCUUGUUGGGAAUUGGCUUUGAUAUAGGCCAAGACAUUAGGGUCCUGGACUACUAUAAUUCAUUAUGUCAUAUGGGGAUUCUCCCAUGCCAGAUGACUGAUAUAACCUCUCUCCAGGCUACAAUCUCUUCUAUGACCUUGCUUGCCAUUCUGCU